UAACAGUGUGUGGAACUUUUAUCGUGAGUUGUUUAUAUAUAUGAAAUAUGAAUGAGAGGUUUGUUUGAAUGACUUUUUGAAAUAGGAAUGCGGUGAAAAGCAGGGUCAAAUAGAGCGAGCCAUUAGAGAAAAGCGAUCAGUGGAAGAAGAGCUUGAAAAGAUUUGUAGAGAAUACGGAGGACAUGAAUCUGACAACAGAAAACUAGAGCAACUGCAUCAGAAAUACCUACUUGCAGAGACUGCCAAAUGUGACCUUCAGCUGAGUCUGCAGACAACACAACAUAAACUGAAACUGUUGGAAAUGAAAUAUAGUCUCCCCUGUCUCCAAACCAUCACAGCUUCAGUGAAGUGACAGAAGGAAAAUGUAAAAUUGACUUAAUUCGUGACUUUAAAGAAGAGUCUCUUUCAGCUUUGAGGAAGAGAAAUCUAAUUACCAGAAGAAUAUCUGUAACUUGCAAAGCAUUCUGGAUUCAGAAAGAGAAAAGAGCAGCUCCAUUGGUGAGCAAAGGUUAAAGCUUCAGCAAGAGAAUGAACAACUGCAAAAAGAAAUUGAAAGCUUGAAAAAAGCGGCCUCAGAGGCACAGCAGAAAGCCAAAAUAAAGGUAUGGUUUUGCAACACUCUAAUGCAAUGGAAAGUACAGUAGUGAUAGCAGGGUAGCUAUCACUAGUCCUAGGCUACAGCAAGUGAGGAUAUGCUCAAAUGCAGCAGUUAUAGAUGCAGAAACAAAAGAUAAAAUGUGCUUUCCCUUGGAAGGUCUCAGGUGGGCAGGGAUAUCCACCAAGACAUCCUUGCCUCCACUGCCAGCCCUUAAAUGAGGUCUGGGAAGUCACUCAGGUAUUUUGCAUGUACCCGAGCUGCCCUGGUUUGGCCCUGCCUUCCCACCAGGUGCUCAAUCACUGGUUCAAGCCGUGUCUUAACGUUUCUGCUACAGGUUUAUAUGCUGUUUCUAAGGCUGAUGUUUGCUUAAUAAGACAGCAUUUCUAGGAAAAAAUAUUUGGAAGUUUAAUUUGAGGGUGAAAGUUUCAAUGAUGCUUGCUCUUUUUUCCUUUGUAAAUAGUUUCGUUUCAGCGUUGUGUGUCCUCAAGAUUUAUUUAGUAGCUCAGUCUCUGCUGACUGUGCUUGUUAAGACGAUCCCAAGCGUUCUCUCUUAUUUCACAGGAGGAGUAGUCCAAAUGGUAAAAAAUUUUCUCC